rnacentral:rRNA from 1 species
GAUGAACGCUGGCGGCGUGCCUAAUACAUGCAAGUCGAGCGAACAGAUAAGGAGCUUGCUCCUUUGACGUUAGCGGCGGACGGGUGAGUAACACGUGGAUAACCUACCUAUAAGACUGGGAUAACUUCGGGAAACCGGAGCUAAUACCGGAUAACAUAUUGAACCGCAUGGUUCAAUAGUGAAAGGCGGCUUUGCUGUCACUUAUAGAUGGAUCCGCGCCGUAUUAGCUAGUUGGUAAGGUAACGGCUUACCAAGGCAACGAUACGUAGCCGACCUGGGAGGGUGAUCGGCCACACUGGAACUGAGACACGGUCCAGACUCCUACGGGAGGCAGCAGUAGGGAAUCUUCCGCAAUGGGCGAAAGCCUGACGGAGCAACGCCGCGUGAGUGAUGAAGGUCUUCGGAUCGUAAAACUCUGUUAUCAGGGAAGAACAAAUGUGUAAGUAACUGUGCACAUCUUGACGGUACCUGAUCAGAAAGCCGCGGCUAACUACGUG